GUAUAGCCUUCUUUGGAAUGUAGUGUGUUAUCAGUUAAAUGCAGCUCCUGAAAUUUCACUUUCUUUUCUCUCCAGGUAUCAAAAUCUAGUUAAGUAGUGCAUUACAAGAGUUUCACCCCCAUGUGCAAAUAGCUGUGCUGGCAAUUUGUCUCACCAUCACCUGUUCCUGCCACACUAAGAGAUUCCUCAGGUGAAAUCCUCUUCAAAAGGGUGCUGCAACUUGGCCUCCUGCUGCCUAACAGCCUCAUGACAAAAUUCCUGAGGGUGGCAGGAUAAGCCCUUUGAGACCAUCCUGGAGAGGAUGAUGCAACAUUUCAAGCUAAGGUGAUGCUAUGAAGAAAGAGAAGAAAAAGGAGAAGAAAACAAUCAUUAAGGCAGUUAUUGAUGGAAUCACUGAGGUCACUCAGCGGGGUAACAUCAAUUUUUGACUCCAGCUGUUCAUCAAUCUGUUUGACUGAUCACAGUUUAGUGACUGCUAGGGUCUCUCCCACUCCAAUGCAAUCUUACCAGUCUGAAUUCGUAUCCCAGGUCCAGAACCCCUCUUUACUCUCUGCAAAGCUGUCACAGAAGUAGGAGUUUCUAAAAAGUAAUUAUAUACAUCUUUUUUCCUCAUACAAAAGGCAGUUUAAGAGGACUGGAAUCAGUUCACUCGGGGUACUCUCCAAGAGGCCAUCAUUUCCCUACUAAUGGUGCCUUCAUUUGGAUGUUGACCAACACAGAAUUAGGAGUGGGUUAAAGCAGCAAGUGCCCAAGUAUCAUUAGCAAACAAGCAGGAAGGCUGUUUUUCAGCCUCUUGGGUGAGAGGUCUCACGUAACUGAUGGC